rnacentral:tRNA from 1 species
GGCGUAGCUCAGUUGGUUAGAGCGCCAGGUUGUGGCCCUGGAGGCCGUGGGUUCGAAUCCCAUCG